rnacentral:rRNA from 1 species
GGACUACUGGGGUAUCUAAUCCUGUUUGCUCCCCACGCUUUCGCGCAUCAGCGUCAGAACCGGUCCAGGUAGCCGCCUUCGCCACCGGUGUUCCUCCCAAUAUCUACGCAUUUCACCGCUACAUUGGGAAUUCCGCUACCCCCUCCCGGCCUCAAGCCAGGCAGUUUCAAAGGCAGUUCCUCAGUUGAGCCGAGGGAUUUCACCUUUGACUUACCAAGCCGCCUACGCGCCCUUUACGCCCAAUAAUUCCGAAUAACGCUCGCCCCCUCCGUAUUACCGCGGCUGCUGGCAC